UGGCGAACGGGUGAGUAACACGUUGGUGACCUGCCCCGAAGUGUGGGAUAACAGUCCGAAAGGAUUGCUAAUACCGCAUGUGGUUAUUGGGUUUAGAAGCCGAUAACUAAAGCAGCAAUGCGCUUCGGGAGGGACCUGCGCCCCAUCAGCUAGUUGGUAGGGUAACGGCCUACCAAGGCUUCGACGGGUAAGGGACCUGAGAGGGUGGUCCCUCACAAUGGCACUGAAACACGGGCCAU
rnacentral:rRNA from 1 species